AUCUAGACAUGGCUCAAGAUCCCAAGGCCGGCCCUGCCCAGCCAGGCCAGAAGAGGCAGCAGGGCACACGUGUUUUCUGGGUCUAUGAAUACCAGAGGAUCCGGAUGCCCACACUCAUCAACCACAUGCCUGUCAAGAUCCGGAGGGCCCACAUGGGCAUGGGGGUCAGGAGCGGCUUCAGCCCCCAACGGGUCUCCAGGAACAGCCCCCUGCCCUCUGGGCAGAAAAAGUUCCCCACCGAGGAGCUGCAUGACAUCCAGGGGGCGCUGUGGCAGAUCAAAGCCCAGGUGGACAGUCUGCUGCAGAGCCUGGAGCGCAUGGACCGGCAGCAGGUCCCACCCGCAGCCACAAAGGACAGUGGAAAAAACAGGGGUCCUGGUAGCAAGGGCUCCUCCUGCAGCUCUGAGCCCCCGCAGAAGCCCCAGAGCGAGGAGGCUGGUCCAGAGGCAGAUGGCUACGAGGGCGGCACAGACACGGAGUGGACAGUGAAGAACCACGCUGAAGACCAGGCCAGCCAGGAGGCAGCAGGAACCCCUCCAGCCUCAUCAGCUCCUGGCAUUCUCGAUAGACAGCUCCUUGCCUUGCGUAGGUUUUGAAAGCCACCUUAGCAACCUGAAUGCCUGAUCUGGAGCUGGGGCAAUGGAAGUGGACACAGGGCUUGCCAGACAAGCAGAGGGCCAACCUGUAGUGGUGGGUUUUAGCUUCUUUAGAGGUUGCAUUUCGAGAUGAUGGUCCUGGGACUGACACGGUUAGGAGGUGGCCUGGAACUGCACCAGGUCGCCAUCCUCAUGAAGCUGAGGCUCUCUUGCAAGGGGCAGAUGACAGCCCAUCCCCACCCCACCCCACCCCUCAGAGGGCACCCUCAGCCUUGUCUGAAUGCAGACACAGCUGAUCUUCACUCCCCUCCCGAUGCACCGCCAGUCAACAGAUAGCCAACAGAUCUCCCUGAGUUUCCAAUCUCCCUGAAACUGCUGGAAUGUUCUCAGUGUGUACCCCACACAGCCCUCUUUGGGCUCCAGACUCCCCAUCUACUCUAGGAAGUCACCCUUCAGAAUUACAUUAUGUCCUCUCCCCACUGGUGUGAUACUAUUUCAGACCUGCUCUAGAAAGACACGUUAUGUCAGAAGGGAAAAAAUAAAAUUUGUAUUUUUCCUGGUCAGGGGUUCUAGGUGUGGCCCCAGAAACUCAUUCUGGUCCUUGGGCUGACCCAGGCCGGCCCUUCCUAGAGAAGCUGAGUGCAGAGAGAGGGGACCAGGCCGCCUUCCAAAUGGCAGUCACCUAGCUUCCUACCAUGCAGUCUUGAGCCCAAACCAGCAGAGCUGGUAGGGACACAGGAAAGACCCCACCUCGUGGCCAGUCAGUCAGGUUGUACCUGGCCUUCCUAGCAGUGCACCUGCCCUCUGCGGUGCUGCUCAGGGUCUUCCUUGUAGGACCAGGGUGCCACUUCUCACCAGCAGUGGAGGCUCGGGUUGUGCCAUUCUGUACAUGGCCAAGGACAGAUGGCUUCUACCCAGACCAAAACCCUUUUCAGCUACCCAGCACCAAGCCAGGUUGGGGCACGAGGUGCACUCAGCGCACUUCUGGGGCCGUACUUUUUUUACUGAGACGGAGUCUUGCUCUUGUUGCCCAGGCUGGAGUGCAAUGGUGCGAUCUCCACUCACCGCAACCUCCACCUCCCGGGUUCAAGCGAUUCUCCUGCCUCAGCCUCCCGAGU
ensembl:lincRNA